ensembl:lincRNA A630050E04Rik RIKEN cDNA A630050E04 gene
UCUAUGUGGAUGCUGAUAAAGUGAGCAGAAAAUGUCCACCAUAGCCUUCUCCCUCUAGAUGUUUACAGCCUGAAGACUGCUACCCUACAAACUAGCUAACCUGCCUCCUUAAUCUAACUAUAUACCAGAAACCUCCCUGGUUCAGCCGUAAGCAAUAAUCCUGCCUCCAGUCCAACUAUGUAUAAUAGACCCACUGAGUUUCCUGGGUGCUGUGGCUUCUCCAUUGGAGAGCCUAGUCAGCUCAAAUCCAGAUCUUCUGUGUCUAUGUUUGUCUUUUUUUUUUCCAUCCCUUCAGUUCCCCUAUAAGAGCUGACCCUGGACCUGUGCAGGAUGAAAUAGACAAAAAUAUAUCUCCUACUUUAGGAGGCAUCCCCAGAGUAGGCUGGACCUGAAAGGUGUUCUUGUCUCUGAUGGAGAAUGGAGAAUCACUGCAGGCCAAUUUGCAUUUGGAAGAUUGGAGCAUCAGGAUUUGAAGGAAGUUGUAUAAAUUUGUCUGCACUGGUACUCACAUGGAAGAAUAUGCUUAUUGCUCUAAUCUGGCACAAAAGAGAGUUACUCUGACUUAAUAAAUUGCUUCAACUG